CUCUCUCUCUCUCUCUCUCUCUCUCUCUCUCUCUCCGGGCUCGCCGGGUCGCCGCCCCUCACGCCGCGCUGGCUAGGGGCGAGAAGGCGGAGGCAGGAGCGGCUGCUUCGGGCCCCGAUCUGGGGAGGGUACGAGGCAGGGAAGGACGCCGUCCCUUUCAUUCUCUCUCUGAUUCGUCCUCUUCCCUCUUUCCAUCCCUCCUGCUCGCCAGCGGUUCCUCCUCCCCUGCCUCCUCACGUCGCCCUCAAGUCCGAGUCAACGAGUUUGCUUCCUCUGCUCCGUUCAUGUCAUUGAGCUUUUUCCUUGGGCAUAGCACCACAUUUGCGGCAGCACACCGGAGUCAAUUUGGUUGACUAGCAAUAGAGCAAAGAGUAAAAUCAGGUCUUCACCUAUGGAGGAGGUAGAUACUGGCGGAGUGCAUAUGACCAGGUGUCCUCCAGGUUCUGCAUCAUCAAUGUGUACCUCUAGAUUCUGCAUCAUUAGUGAGCAACUUACCUAAGCAACCGAGCCCAAUCAACAAUUGGUAGAAGUAGUUAUGAGAUGAGGCAGAGGAGAGCAGAGAGGACCGGAGAAGGAGUUGCGGACCUCGCCAACAAGGCCGUGACCCUACAUCACUAAAAAAAAUGCGCCGUAUUUGUUUCUCAUGCUUUACCAUGGCAUGUUCUUAUUAGUUCAGGUUGGUCUCUCCGGUUCUUUUCGCCAAUGGCUUGAUGUACGCACUGGCAACCUCUUACUGGAAGGAUUCGGCAUGCCUCUGUUCGAGAGAUGGGAUAUGAAGAAAUGGCGUUCUGUAGGUUGUCUUCAUGUCGCUGUUGUGCUACUGCUAGGCAUGAACAGAAUGGCCUCCUCUUAUUGCGAACCACACUGAUGUUGGCUUCUGAUUUCUGCUGUAAUGGAUUAUUUACUAUGGACAAAUAUGGCAAUAUUCAUUUGGAGCACCGUUUCUUGAGGAUAUGUCUCUUCUACAGGGGGAGAUCCCCGGCCUCUACAUCAGAACGAUGCAUACAUGAUAUCGUGUGCUUGUACUAAAAAAGGUGUUCUGCCAUCCCAUGGAUUCUAGCACAGCUUGAAGCGGCCAAGUCAAGGAGGACCUAUAAAAUUAUUUGAUCGUCUCUCGCUCUCUCUCUCUCUCGCUCUCUCUCUCUCUCUCUCUCUCUCUCUCUAUAUAUAUAUAUAUAUAUAUAUAUAUAUAUAUAUAUAUAUAUAUGUGUUGUCUGGUGCAUGUAUGGCUGAGAAUAGGGAGAGAGAGCAAGUUUAAUUUUCCUUGGGCAUUCAAAUUCUUAUUUUGCUUUUCUCAGAUUUUUGGCUGGGUGUUUAAACAUACUUCCACACACUGGUUUCAGAUUUCAGUGUAAACUACAAAUAGGGGAAAAAUAUAGUGAUUUUUCCAAAUUAGAAAUAGGGAGAAGGGAAACUAUUGAUUAUUGUGUGCAUGUAUAACUAAUUGGAUUACUGGUUGAACGAGUGCAGACUUGAGAAAGAAGAGAUAGGGCCAAUAAAAUUAGGUGGGAGGUAUGCUGAUGGGUUCAUUUUAGCAUUACUAAUCGACCGCUUGGCAUCCUGAAGCUGAAAGAUUAGCGAGACUGACUAAAUUCUAAACAUGUUCCAUGUGAGAGAAAUAGCAUGUUGAUUUCAUCUUGAAAUAAUCAUAGUUGAGGGAUGAGGUUCGUAACCGAGGGUCAUGUGCAGAGCUGGAGGAAGAAGUUGCGAGGCUUGAAACUCUGUGAAGGGCUCAGGGACAGCAGUGAGGACAAUGCCUCUUUAGUUGUAAUUGUGAUACUCUUGAUGUGCAAUUAAACACUCCUGUGAUACUCCUUAUGCUAAAAUGUUGGUUGUUAGUACAGAGGUGGUGACAUUAUUUGGUUCUCUGGUAUUGAUUUCAUGAUUUGUGGUUAAUACAUGAUGUAAUACAAUCCACAUUGCAUUAUAUUUCCAGUUACAUCUUUUACUUACUCACUACUAACAUUCUUUCUAAUUUGCUUCUUGCGCCAUUGGCGCAACCGGGUCAUCUAGUAUAUAUAGUACAUGCCGAGGGCCAGGGCUAUGGUUCUGUCACUUGAGAUGCCCAUGUGUAUGACAGGUUGUCGCAGCUGUGAUUGGCAGAAGAAUUGGUCAUUUUCAAAUUCGUCUAAAAGUUAUUUGGUAAAGUAUGAGCUUACAAUGAUGGAUGUGCUUAAGGUGAGUGAUUCUAACCUUCCAUUUACCUGUAUGACUUUAUAUAUCUCCUCUAUAUGAAUAUAGGGUACCCUCCAGAUACGGAAGUCCGAAAAUAUUUGACAAGUAAGCUACUUUGUUUUCCAUUAUAUAAUUUAGUACUCAAAAGCCAAAAAUUAUUGAUGGGACUUAUAUUUUGUUUCCCUUUCUACAAAAAUCUCAUGAUGGCCUCUCUGUGCAUUCAAUAAGUGAUCAACAAUCCCAGCAAAUAUAUAGAGAUGAAGGCGGAGAACUGGGUUCGCUCCUAUAUCAAGCUACUUCUAGGCAUGGUAUUUUAAUAAAUUACAUGUGUAUAAGGUAACAUUAUAUGUGUGGUGUGAUCAAAGCAAUGCGUUUUUUGCAUGAUUUGUUCCUAAACUUCUAAAUUUAGGUAGGUGUACAUCACACCAAACAUAUGUAAAAUCUCUGGCUCUUUUAGAUAUAUCAAUUUACUAUUUCGCCAUUAACAUUCCACCAAAUUGAGAAAUUAGUUACAUGCUAUCAAGUAGUGCAAGUUAACUCUACAUAUAAAUUAAAUUGUUGGAAAUUCGUGAGAGAUAUAAUACUAGACAUGAUUUGUAGAAACAAUUUGGAAUGGAAAGGGUGAAUACAAUAUAACAACUUGCCAUCAUUUUAUCCUUUGGACAUACACCUAACAUUUCUUCCUUGGUGCUUAUGAUGAGUGGCAGGAAAUCAUGGACACAAGGUACAGUGAUUUAUAACAUCUUCUUGGGCCUCGAGGAGUGAGGCUUAAUGUUGGUUUAUUCUAAGAUUAUAUUAUUGGCUCAGAUUUCCUUAGCUACUCCCUCCGUCCGCGAAUAAGUGUACUUCUAGCUUUUAUCUUAAGUCAAAGUUUUGAAAUUUUGACCAACUAUAUACAAAAGAGUGAUAACAUAUAUGACAUCAAAUUGAUAUAUUAUGAAAGUACAUUUCAAAAUAGAUCUAGUGAUAUUAAUUUAGUGUCAUAAAUGCUAGUACUUUUCUCUAUAAAGUUGGUCAAAAUUUUAAAACUUUGACCUAGGACAAAAGCUAAAAGUACACUUAUUCGUGGACGGAGGGAGUAUGCAUUAAUGAACAACAUUUUCACAUGAUACAUGGGCACAACAUUUCACAUGGUUUUACUUUAGAUUAUCAACUGUUUUGUGCGAUUAGCUAUGCAUAGCCAUCCUUAAAACCACAACUGCUUUUCUGUAAAUGUAUUCCCAAAUAGUAGCAUCAUUUCAUGAUUUUUACUACAGAGUUAGUUUAAUGGAAAUCAAGUGGAAAUGUCAAAACUAUUCAUGACUGAUUAGUUCUCCUCUCCCUAGACUUUUUCCUAUAUAUCCAAAAGCGCAUUCAAAAGCGCAUCCUUGCCAUAUGGCAAAUGUCUCAUAUGAUUUAUCAAUGAUCUACUCUGUUUUUACUGUAAUAUAUAGUUUGUUAUAUUAGUUUCUAAUGCAGAGAGUUGGCUAAGUAUUUUUGACUACUAAGCUAUAGACCAGCCAAAAAUUAAUCACACAGUUUUGUAAUCUCUAAAACAGCUUAUAUUUAGGAACAGAGGGAGUAGCAAUCACUCAUAUUGCAAUCAAAUGUUCCAACCAAUAUGGGUUGGCUUUAAGAACAAAAGUUUUGAUAGAGCAUUGAAGUGUCCGUUCGUGACUAGCUAGAUAUGUUCUAAUAUUGUUAGUCAAAGGGCAGUAGUCCAAGGGAACCAAUAGGUCGCACUACGUUCCUAUGCAAAAAAGCACUUAAAGGUUACAAGUGAUGGGGAAACAUGACUUGGCUUUCAGGUAUGUCUCUAAAGUGUCGUGCUACUUCAGAAAUCAAAGUUUUAUAAUAUCAUAUUGAAUACAAUAUUUUUUGUUUUAAAUAAACUAUGUGUAGUAACUAGAACAUAUUGCUUAAUAAAACAACUAGGUUGACAUGUAAAUGACAUUUUGUGUUAACUAUAACUAAGUAGAUUUCUAUUAGUACACACAGUUUAUUGGCUAGUCUGUGCGAAUGAUAUUGUUUGUCAUUAUGUUUAUGCUUGUUGUGAGCUUGCAAAUACAUUCAAUGUA